GUGUUGCCAAUCCAUGGGAAGAGCUUUUUUUCUUUUCUUUUUAAACAGAUAGGGUAAGGUCAACUGGUUCUUUUUUUAAAAAGAUUUUUAUUGAUUGAUUGAUCGAAUUUUGCUUUUUAGGGUCACACCUGUGGCACAUGGCUAUUCCCAGGCUAGGGGGUGGAAUCAGAGCUACAGCUGUCAGCCUACACUACAGCUCAUGGCAAUGCUGGCUCCCCAACCCACCGAGUAAGGCCGGGGAUCAAGCCCACAUCCUCAUCGACACUAGUCUGCUGUGCCACAAGCGGAACUCCUCAACUGGCUCUUUGUGUCAGUCAGGGCAUGCUCAGAAAAGGAAAAGACUAUUCAUAAGAGAAGGAAUGGAAUGGAGGGACCUGGUUACCCAAGGGGCGGGAAUAGCCAGUGGGGGCCGAGGGAGAGAUGAGGGGGGUAGGGAUGUGGAUCUUGCACCAGGUCCACAAGGUGGGGUGCUCAGGCAUUGGGAUUGUGGUGCUUGGGUGGGGACACAGACGGUGGCCAGUAGGAGUGCAGACGGCGCCUGGCUGGUCAUCCCGAGGCUCUGGCCAGCUUCUGGGUCAAGGAGGUGGGUCCACAAGGAGAGAGGUCCUGAAUGGAGGCAGGGGGGGAGGAGGAGGUGUCAGUUUAUUCUCAGAGAUCCAUUCCUGAUGGGCUUAAGGGCAGAAUCGUGA
rnacentral:lncRNA from 1 species